GGCAGAGGUGCCGAGCGUUAGGCGGAAUCACUGGGCUUAAAGCGUGUGUAGGCGGUUCGUUAAGUGCCUUGUGAAAUCCCACGGCUCACCCGUGGAACUGCUGGGCAUACUGGCGGUCUUGAGCCACCUAGGGGCAACCGGAACAAACGGUGGAGCGGUGAAAUGCGUAGAUAUCGUUUGGAACGCCAAUGGUGAAAACAGGUUGCCGGGGGUGUGCUGACGCUGAGACACGAAAGCCAGGGGAGCAAACGGG
rnacentral:rRNA from 1 species